rfam:Brachypodium distachyon strain Bd21 chromosome 1, whole genome shotgun sequence.
CAAAUACUCACUUUGUCCAACAACAGAUGUCUCAACUUUAUUAAAUUUGAAUGCAUCUAUACACUAAAUCAUAUAUAGAUACAUCCAAAUUUUGACAAACAUGAGACAUCUUCUGUUGGACGAAGGGAGUAAUAU